GGCGUUGCAAUACUUUGUAGCGUUCCCUCGAACAUAUCUCCGGAUAGAAAAUAGCUAGGAGGUCGAUCUUGGUAUCAUUUUGAAGCUUAGAGAACGCUUUAUCCGAUUCAACAAUAAAAAUAAACUUGGGUACACCCGCGUUAAGGGGUGUUUUCCUAGGCCCUGUCACAUUUGAUAGAUCCUUGUAGUACAACCUCAGUGAGGUUCUAGGGAAGCUAUAUAGACAGUGACAAUAUCGAUGCUUAUGGCGUUGUAGAGUGAGAGGACAGUGACUGGGAUCAUAGCUAGAUAACGAGCUAUCUCAAGCUAGAGCCUGAGGAAGGAAGAAGCUCUUGCGAUGGAACAACUUCUUGGAUCUGGUGAAGAAAACCUUUCCCGGGAAAAGGGCGUCUGCUGAUACGACCUCGCAGAUAACUUUCUGCAGAUCUUGAUUGUGUCACCGUGAGAACAUUGAGAACACUUAUUAGUCACUCUGUGCCUUCAUUCAAUAAUUAUUGUUUGUGUACAUAAUUGUGAACGUUUGUAAACAAUUGCUAAUUAGUGGGGGUGGUCAGUUGCUAGGUAACGAAGAUGGUGUCAAGAUACCUCUGGGGUCUGCGCUACCUGUUACAAGUCAUUUCAAUGUAUGGUUCAUGAUAAUUAGAAAAUUGUUUUUGUAUUUUCUUG